GGAUCGAGGCAACCAAGGUAUGUAUCUUCAUCUUUGAGUCAUUUCAAGUUGAUUGGUACUAGUUUUAGGAAGUGAAACCCUCGGAAUCACGUGAAACCCGAACCUCCAUUUUUUGUCACUGUUCAUGCAAACGUAAAAUGUUGAUUUUCAGGGAAUUCUAAGCUUGUAGUGAGCUUAGUGAGGUCCCAAGGAGGCUCGGAGUACUUCGUUUGAAGGAUUUGGACGUCGGGAUCACGUGGUUCAACUUUGGCCGAUUUUCUUGGAAAUUUUCCGGUGAGAUUUCUUGAUUUUUAGAGCCUUAAGCUAGUCUAUCGUGAUUCUACAUGUUUGGGGCUUCAUUUUGGUAUAAAAUACGAAGAAAAUGGUUGAGAAACGAAGGAGAAUCACGUCUGGACCCCCUGGGUCGGGGUGUGUCACUGAAGGCUUGCAAGUAUCUAAAACUGAUUCAGUUUGUUUCUCUUGGACCACAAUGCAAGACUUCUCAUGAAUGUUUUUUCAUGCAUAAGUUCGUUUCUCAUCAAAUCAAGGUUUGAUUUGAUAGCAGGUGGGAUCUUAGAUAGGAUAAAUGUCAAAGCAAUGUGGAAAGAGAUGACAGGUUAAUUCAAAAGUUUUAUGUAAAUGUGUAAUUAUCAUUGAAUCGAAUCAUAAUACAAUCAGUUAAAUAAAUUUCUUAUUUUUAUUUUCUUCAUCUUUCUUUUCUUUAUCUCCUACUUAUUUUUGCUUUCCAAGUUUACUAAAUUAUUUUAUGUUGUAUUUGGAAAUAUAAGUAGAUUUUUUCAACGUGUGUACAUAUUACAAAUUCAGAAGAAGAGGAUGACGAGAUUAUUGAAAUCAAUGGUGGGCAUUCAAAAACUACAUUUGAUUUCUUUUUCUUUUUUUGGUAGUUUUUUGUUCAUUUACUAUGUAAAGGGAGGAUAUUAGGGGUACCGGUGAGUGGAGAUUCCUCUGCAGAUCAAUUUGACUUAGAGGUUAGAUUUUGGUUAACAAUAGAAUUUGGUGGUUUGCUUCUUAGUGUUGACUUAGAGGCAUUGGUUAUCUUGCUUCGUCCGAAUUAGAUAUUUUGAAUUUUAUUUGUCACUAAUACUGUUCAAGAGUUUUGUUAUUUUAAAAAUUACGUGGAGAGGCUUAUGGAAAUAUUGGAUAUUACAUCCUAAACCAAUGUAAAUUCUUGAACCUUUAAGCAAUUAAACCCAUGUGCAAGGCUAUAGUAUCUGCUUUGUCAGUACCCAUUUUCUUGCAUCACUUUUCCACUUAUCCUAACUUCUAAAUGUCAUCUUGAUUUGCUAUAUUUUAUGACAAAAAUCAAUUAUCCAUUUUCUUGGCUUCAUAGGCUUCAUAGGCUUACUCAAUAGGUGAUCAAUUUAUCAAAGUUGCAGAGUUUAAGUAUUUGGCUGUUUGUUUGUAAUACCUUUUUAGAAGAAAUCCCUAACAUAUCCAUCAAUGCUCUCCCUCUUCAUCGUAAAGAAGUGGUCAAUUGCAUUUUCUUCUACCAUUUGGUUUCCAUUGAAGCUUACAAUUUAUCACUUUGAAUUAAUCGUACCAUGUUAAUUGUCUUACUUCCAUUUUACAAGUUGUAGAGAUUGAUAACUUCUUUGCAUUUGCAGGUAGUCGGGAAAAAUGUAAUUUUGGAGCACCGCUAUAGAACAAUUUUAUGAGAUGUUGCUAAAUAUACCUUACAACUAAAAUUAAGCAUGUGGCCUAUAUUUGCAGUCCACGGGAUUCAGUUAUAUACGAAAGGUUUUAUUAAAGUAUCUGUAUUUGUUUCACAAAAUGAAAAAUGUAGAUAUUGUAUGUUAGUUUGUACAAACAUUUAAUUAUUAUUUAUUACAUUUUUUUUUUUGAAAAGUAAUUUUCACGCACCAAUUUUUUUUACCUUACACAAAGUUUCCGGCACUUUCAAAUCUUUUAAAUGAACCUAUCAAAAGGUUCUUACAUUAUUUUUGUUGUUCAUAAUGAUCGGUAUCAUUAAUUGGGGAAAAAAAAUCAUGCUUCUUGACAAUUGCACAGUGAAAAAAAAAAAAACUACGUAUGUUGCGCGUAGCACGCCGUGAUUAAAAAAAAAGGCUUUCGCAUGCGUGUACGCGCCUGCAUAAAGGCUAGUGUGGAUUAAUGUAGAAGCUAAGUUACUAUAACUUUUAAAAGGUCCCACUAUUUGUAGCCGUUGGAUUCUAGAUUGAUGGAUGUGCAGGAUUUGGUUGAAAGUAACCGAAGAGGAUCCCUUUCCGUCUGGAAGGUCUUGUGGAUUUGUUCUUCUUAAUUAGCCACCAAAGUCUAAAAGUCAUGCAUCCCUAAUUCUCAAGUCAUAACCAAAUCCAUUUUAAUAUUGUUACACAUCCGAAUUAGCAAUAAACAACGCCA
rnacentral:lncRNA from 1 species